UCAGUCGACUCCUACGGGGAGGCAGCAGUGGGGGAAUAUUGCACAAUGGGCGCAAGCCUGAUGCAGCCAUGCCGCGUGUAUGAAGAAGGACCUUCGGGUUGUAAAGUACUUUCAGCAGUGAGGAAGGUGGGUAUGUUAAUAGCAUAUUCAUUUGACGUUAGCUGCAGAAGAAGCACCGGCUAACUCCGUGCCAGCAGCCGCGGUAAUACGGAGGGUGCGAGCGUUAAUCGGAAUUACUGGGCGUAAAGCGCAUGCAGGUGGUUUGUUAAGUCAGAUGUGAAAGCCCGGGGCUCAACCUCGGAAUUGCAUUUGAAACUGGCAAACUAGAGUACUGUAGAGGGGGGUAGGAAUUUCAGGUGUAGCGGUGAAAUGCGUAGAGAUCUGAAGGAAUACCGGUGGCGAAGGCGACCCCCUGGACAGAUACUGACACUCAGAUGCGAAAGCGUGGGGAGCAAACAGGAUUAGAUACCCUGGUAG
rnacentral:rRNA from 1 species